CUGAACUAGUAAUUAAUCUUUUUGUUUGUUCUCUUUUGACGUAAUUCUCAGUAGUCCAAUGAGUACAACAGAAGAACUAAAACCAAAAAAUCAUCCGUUGGCUGAAAGAAUAGAAGUACACGUGAAUACUUCUUGUACUAGCACUUGCAGAGGAAAGAAAUGAUUGGACUAAGAAUUUCUCUGCCAUAAAUAUCUCCUGCUGGUAGAUCCUGUCAGUUCAAAUGUCUCUCAAAGUCACCCGGAAAAGACUGCAACCACAGCUGAAUACAAGCACUUUUUCAGAAUCAUACUGAAGGUAAUGUUUUCCUUCUUUGCUCUUUACUUUGCCAUGAUUAGACUCCCUAUAGAUAGAACUGAGACA
rnacentral:lncRNA from 1 species